UACGGAGGGUGCAAGCGUUAUCCGGAUUCACUGGGUUUAAAGGGUGCGUAGGUGGGCAGGUAAGUCAGUGGUGAAAUCUCUGGGCUUAACCCGGAAACUGCCGUUGAUACUAUCUGUCUUGAAUGUAGUGGAGGUGAGCGGAAUAUGUCAUGUAGCGGUGAAAUGCUUAGACAUGACAUAGAACAUCGAUUGCGAAGGCAGCUCGCUACACUAUGAUUGACACUGAGGCACGAAAGCGUGGGGAUCAAACAGG
rnacentral:rRNA from 1 species